GACGAACGCUGGCGGCGUGCUUAACACAUGCAAGUCGAACGGAAAGGCCCUGCUUUUGUGGGGUGCUCGAGUGGCGAACGGGUGAGUAACACGUGAGUAACCUGCCCUUGACUUUGGGAUAACUUCAGGAAACUGGGGCUAAUACCGGAUAGGAGCUCCUGCUGCAUGGUGGGGGUUGGAAAGUUUCGGCGGUUGGGGAUGGACUCGCGGCUUAUCAGCUUGUUGGUGGGGUAGUGGCUUACCAAGGCUUUGACGGGUAGCCGGCCUGAGAGGGUGACCGGCCACAUUGGGACUGAGAUACGGCCCAGACUCCUACGGGAGGCAGCAGUGGGGAAUAUUGCACGAUGGGCGGAAGCCUGAUGCAGCAACGCCGCGUGCGGGAUGACGGCCUUCGGGUUGUAAACCGCUUUCGCCUGUGACGAAGCGUGAGUGACGGUACUGGGUAAAGAAGCACCGGCUAACUACGUG
rnacentral:rRNA from 1 species